UUACGGCCACAUCACGUUGAAAUACCGGUUCCCGUACGAUCACGGGAGUUAAGCAACGUCGAUCCUGAUCAGUUCUUAGAUGGGUGACCGCUUGGAAAUACCAG